rnacentral:lncRNA from 10 species
UCCCAGUUAGUCACCUUACCUGCCAAAACAUAUCUGUGAAUAUAAACAUUUUGAUAAAUGAAUGUAAAAAUUUCGAUAAAUCCAUUAAAUGGGGCUGGGCAUGGCAGCUUACACCUGUAAUCCCAGCACUUUGGGAGGCCAAGGUGGGAGGGUCCCAUGAAUCCAGGAGUUUGAGACAAGCCUGGGCAACAUUGUGGGACCCUGUCUCUAAAAAAAUUUAAAAACUAGCUGGGCAUGGUGGU